rnacentral:tRNA from 1 species
GCGGGUAGCGCCGGUCGCUAUGCAGGUUUCCACCCUGCUGAUCAGGGUUCGAUUCCCUGUAUCCGCUCCA